CUACGGGGCGCUGCAGUGGGGGAUAUUGCACAAUGGGCGAAAGCCUGAUGCAGCAACGCCGCGUGAAGGAAGACGGUUUUCGGAUUGUAAACUUCUAUCAGCAGGGAAGAAAAUGACUGUACCUGACUAAGAAGCCCCGGCUAACUACGUGCCAGCAGCCGCGGUAAUACGUAGGGGGCAAGCGUUAUCCGGAAUUACUGGGUGUAAAGGGUACGUAGGCGGCUGAUCAAGUCAGAUGUGAAAGCCCGGGGCUCAACCCCGGGACUGCAUUUGAAACUGGUUGGCUAGAGUGCAGGAGAGGAAAGUGGAAUUCCUAGUGUAGCGGUGACAUGCGUAGAUAUUAGGAAGAACACCAGUGGCGAAGGCGGCUUUCUGGACUGUAACUGACGCUGAGGUACGAAAGCGUGGGGAGCGAACAGGAUUAGAUACCCGCGUAGUC
rnacentral:rRNA from 1 species